GACGAGCGCUGGCGGCGUGCUUAACACAUGCAAGUCGAACGGAAAGGCCCUGCUUGCAGGGUACUCGAGUGGCGAACGGGUGAGUAACACGUGGGUUAUCUGCCCUGCACUUCGGGAUAAGCCUGGGAAACUGGGUCUAAUACCGGAUAGGAGCCAUUUUUAGUGUGAUGGUUGGAAAGUUUUUUCGGUGUAGGAUGAGCUCGCGGCCUAUCAGCUUGUUGGUGGGGUAAUGGCCUACCAAGGCGGCGACGGGUAGCCGGCCUGAGAGGGUGGACAGCCACAUUGGGACUGAGAUACGGCCCAGACUCCUACGGGAGGCAGCAGUGGGGAAUAUUGCACAAUGGGCGCAAGCCUGAUGCAGCGACGCCGCGUGGGGGAUGACGGCCUUCGGGUUGUAAACUCCUUUCGCUAGGGACGAAGCUUUUUGUGACGGUACCUAGAUAAGAAGCACCGGCUAACUACGUG
rnacentral:rRNA from 1 species